UACGGGAGGCAGCAGUGGGGAAUAUUGCACAAUGGGCGAAAGCCUGAUGCAGCUAUGCCGCGUGUAUGAAGAAGGCCUUAGGGUUGUAAAGUACUUUCAUCGGGGAGGAAAAACAAAACUAAUAAUUUUAUUUCUUGACGUUACCCGAAAAAGAAGCACCGGCUAACUCCGUGCCAGCAGCCGCGGUAAUACGGAGGGUGCUAGCGUUAAUCAGAAUUACUGGGCGUAAAGAGCACGUAGGUGGUUUUUUUAAGUCAGAUGUGAAAUCCCUGGGCUUAACCUAGGAACUGCAUUUUGAAACUGAAAUACUAGAGUAUCGUAGAGGGAGGUAGAAUUCUAGGUGUAGCGGUGAAAUGCGUAGAUAUCUGGAGGAAUACCUGUGGCGAAAGCGGCCUCCUAAACGAAUACUGACACUGAGGGUGCGAAAGCGUGGGGAGCAAACAGGGAUUAGAUACC
rnacentral:rRNA from 1 species